rnacentral:lncRNA from 1 species
GUUAAGUUUUUGAUGGAACCUAAUCCCCAAGCAUUAGCUUUCUCAUUUCUUUAACUAAAUGGAAAGAUAAUGGCAAAAUGAGAAACUACUUGACUGAUGUGUAUUUCUUUAAUUCAACUUAGACUUAAACUGAAUUAACAUAAAUCAAAAGGAAACGAUCAAUAUACUUGGAAGUCUAUGAACUCCCUAGUUCCCUAGUUUGUCAUUUACUAAAAAAUUUUUAGUAAACAUUUUUGUUUCGUAGAACACAUAUCAGAUGAUUUUUUUAAACAAAAGGUGAAACAAAUAAAUCCAUUAAUAAUCUAUAAUUAGAACUAAAGUAAAAACCAAAAGUAAUGAUGUUUUAAAUUUCAUGCAAUUUUUAAAAUUGGAAAAAUGUAUAUAUUACCCAAAACAAGAGUACAGAGGUAACAUGAAACAAGCAAUUAUCCUCUUCUCCUUUUACAUUGUAGAGACAGAAAAAAAAAACUGUAUCCAUUACCACAUCUAAAAUGUGCAGUAAGGAUCCUUUAAUAUUCUUUUCAAAGCUGGGACUAUUGAGAGAACAAGACUCCAGACUCCUUCGAGCAGGAAUCCCAUUCUUACCUCUAACAUUGAAUUUAAGACUAGUAAAGGCUCUUUCAAGACUAACAUAAGGGGAAAAAAAAAAUCUUACCUGAGAGUUGAAAGGAUAUUUCCCUGGAGUCAAGGAGAGGAAGGGAUAAGAGUGGAUUUAAGAAUCCUAUGAAAAGCAAACAGCAGGAGGCCAGCUUAUACAUGAUCGCCACAAGAUAGACGGCUUCCUUCUUGGCUUCUGUUGUAGAGAACUUUCAACUGUCUCCUCAUUCUGCCUGCUCACUGAUUAUAUAUAUCAUCCUAUGACCUGACAUCAUCCUCUCCAAAAAAAAAAAAAAAAAAUGAAUUUAUUGGCUAUGGAGGCUAAAAGGCAAUCACUUUGCAUUGAUGUAAUUUUUCAAGGUAACAAGUCAUAGACAAUAAAUUAACUGUCUUGUUGCCUAGUGUACAAAGUAGGUAUUAUAUAAAGAACAAUGAGUUUAUAAAUCUGGCAAAAGAGGCAACUUACAGCAAUAAAUUGAGUCCGAGCAGAAGUGACGCAGAGCAUAAGAUGAAAUACGUUGGUUUCCAUUUUUUAAUCUUUCAUGAGUGAGUAGAUGAGUUGCCAUGCUGUGUUUAGGGCUGCCAUCCCUGAAGAAUAUAAAAUGUUUCUACUCUCAUGAACUUUCUGACUGGAGGCGAUAGACAACAACAUGAACAUACGCUGUAGGAAUUGUUUAUUGCUAU